UAGGAAGUAGCAUAAUUAGUGUGUUUUGUUUACGACAAAAAGGUGGUUGGUUUCAAACCUUUCCUUA
rnacentral:tRNA from 1 species